GACAUCAAUAGCCACGUUUACAUGCAGACUUUUUUCUCAUUCGGAUUAUAAUCAUUCCGAUUGAAGCUCCCAGGCGAACUGUUUACAUGGAAGCGAUCUAUUCUGAUCUGGUGUUUACAUGUGCCACGGCAUUCAAUCGGAACAGCUAUUUACAGACACGUGAUACCUUCAAACAUCACGUGAUUGAUUGAUCACGUGAUUGAUUGAUCACGUGAUCUCCGACGCAGACCAGUGCAUCGUGCUCUGCUUGGAAGCCGCCAUCAUGUUUCCAUGUGAGUCAUACGUCACUGCUUGUUUACAUCAGGACAGAGCAUGCGCAGACAGAACCC